CCACCCAAUACUCACUUUGAUUAUGAUUCGUUUGCAGAUGUGAAAAAAACUGCGGUUUCAGCUGUUGAAACUCUAAACCUCGAAAUAAAAGUUGACUGUUUGCGUGAUAAUUAAUUGAUUAAUUCGGAAUUGUUACCAGGACCACCAGGAAUAGGAAGCACCAAAUUUUAAUUAGAAUUCGGCACGUGUUUCGGCUGCAGAGUCAACAGGAUAGGCUGACGUUUACCCUCUUCAAGCUCGACUACUACAACCCAAAUCGUUCCAACCAGCAAGGGACCGAUAAACCAACAUUAAUUCCUUAUAAACGAAGAACUUUGAAUAAGAUAAUAGCCGACCAUAACUCUCGCGAAUUUCCUAAAAAUAAAUUACCUCCCUAUUAACCCAACAAUCACUAAUGUUGUCACGCACAUACG